rnacentral:rRNA from 1 species
CCUACGGGCGGCAGCAGUGGGGAAUAUUGGACAAUGGGGGGAACCCUGAUCCAGCGACGCCGCGUGAGUGAAGAAGUAUUUCGGUACGUAAAGCUCUAUCAGCAGGGAAGAAAAUGACGGUACCUGACUAAGAAGCCCCGGCUAACUACGUGCCAGCAGCCGCGGUAAUACGUAGGGGGCAAGCGUUAUCCGGAUUUACUGGGUGUAAAGGGAGCGUAGACGGUGCGGCAAGUCUGAUGUGAAAUGUCGGAGCUUAACCGCGGGACUGCUUUGGAAACUGGUGAACUGGAGUGCAGGAGGGGUAAGCGGAAUGCCUAGUGUAGCGGUGAAAUGCGUAGAUAUUAGGAGGAACACCAGUGGCGAAGGCGGCUUACUGGACUGUAACUGACGUUGAGGCUCGAAAGCGUGGGGAGCAAACAGGAUUAGAUACCCGUGUAGUC